GUGGGGAAUAUUGGACAAUGGGCGAAAGCCUGAUCCAGCCAUGCCGCGUGUGUGAAGAAGGUCUUCGGAUUGUAAAGCACUUUAAGUUGGGAGGAAGGGCAGUAAGUUAAUACCUUGCUGUUUUGACGUUACCGACAGAAUAAGCACCGGCUAACUUCGUGCCAGCAGCCGCGGUAAUACGAAGGGUGCAAGCGUUAAUCGGAAUUACUGGGCGUAAAGCGCGCGUAGGUGGUUUUGUAAGUUGGAGGUGAAAUCCCCGGGCUCAACCUGGGACCUGCCUCCAAAACUGCAUGACUAGAGUACGGUAGAGGGUAGUGGAAUUUCCUGUGUAGCGGUGAAAUGCGUAGAUAUAGGAAGGAACACCAGUGGCGAAGGCGACUACCUGGACUGAUACUGACACUGAGGUGCGAAAGCGUGGGGAGCAAACAGGAUUAGAUACCCGGGUAGUCC
rnacentral:rRNA from 1 species